ACGAAGCACUUGCUGCUUCUCUGACGAGUGGCGGACGGGUGAGUAAUGUCUGGGAAACUGCCUGAUGGAGGGGGAUAACUACUGGAAACGGUAGCUAAUACCGCAUAACGUCGCAAGACCAAAGAGGGGGACCUUCGGGCCUCUUGCCAUCGGAUGUGCCCAGACGGGAUUAGCUAGUAGGUGGGGUAACGGCUCACCUAGGCGACGAUCCCUAGCUGGUCUGAGAGGAUGACCAGCCACACUGGAACUGAGACACGGUCCAGACUCCUACGGGAGGCAGCAGUGGGGAAUAUUGCACAAUGGGCGCAAGCCUGAUGCAGCCAUGCCGCGUGUAUGAAGAAGGCCUUCGGGUUGUAAAGUACUUUCAGCGGGGAGGAAGGCGAUAAGGUUAAUAACCUUGUCGAUUGACGCUACCCGCAGAAGAAGCACCGGCUAACUCCGUGCCAGCAGCCGCGGUAAUACGGAGGGUGCAAGCGUUAAUCGGAAUUACUGGGCGUAAAGCGCACGCAGGCGGUCUGUCAAGUCGGAUGUGAAAUCCCCGGGCUCAACCUGGGAACUGCAUUCGAAACUGGCAGGCUAGAGUCUUGUAGAGGGGGGUAGAAUUCCAGGUGUAGCGGUGAAAUGCGUUAGAUCUGGA
rnacentral:rRNA from 1 species